UGGCGGAGCCAGAAAUAUUUUUUAUUGGGGGCAAAAAUUAAUUAAAUUAUUUAUUAAUAAUUAAUAUUUAAAUAAAUUAUAUAUAUAUAUAUAUUUAUUAUUAUAUAAAGUAAUAACUACUGGUAUUUAAAAGAAAAUAUUUUUAUUAUUAUAUAGUUUAACAUAUAAAUUUAAUAGUUUUUAUAAAUAGUAUUUAUUUGUUAAGACUAAGCAAAAUAACCAAAACAUGGAAAAUAUAGAAUUUUUAAACUAGUUAUAGCAUCAACUAGUUAAUCAACUAAAAAUAUAUAAAAUGUUUUUAAGCAACCUCUUUAAAUAAAAUAUCGACGAUGUUAAAAAAUAUGGAGAGAAAAAAUACAUUAAAUAUUUUGUCAAAGAUACUUGUCUACGUAAAGCCAGCAAAAUAGGAAGGAUCAAUAAUUUUUUUAUAACUGAUAAAUGUUUUAAAAAAUUGAAAUGGAGGGACUAACUAGGUGUCGAACUAUGGUAUGGUGGGGGCAGGGACAAUUUUUCACUAGAGGCAACACCAACUGAGCUACUAAGAAUUUGGUUAUUUUGGUAACAAUGAUGAUAAAUAAUGAAAGUUGUUGGGGGC
rnacentral:lncRNA from 1 species